rnacentral:sRNA from 1 species
AAGAAAGUAAGUGCCGCCCCGCACAGGGGCGACGCUAAUAGACCAAUAAGAAAUCAAGGAAAGGCCAACGCCGCAGACAGCCAGAC